rnacentral:rRNA from 1 species
ACACUGAAAGCAUCUAAGUGUGAAGCCCACCCUAAGAUGAGAUUUCCCAUUACUCGCACGUAAGUGCGGUGUAAGUAAGACUCCUGGAAGACCACCAGGUUGAUAGGUUAGGGGUGUAAGCAUGGUAACAUGUUCAGCUGACUAAUACUAAUAAGUCGAGGGCUUGACCAA